GCAGCGGCGGCGGCAGUGGCCUCCCCUCCGUCCUCCCUCCCUCCCUCCUUCCCUCCCUCCUCCCGCCCUCCCAGCUCGCCUCCCGGCUGCCCUUGUGCCUCACACACCCCCCUGGCCUCCUCCGUCCCGGCGCUCGCUCCGGGAGCUGAGCCGGCCCCGCCUGAGGAGCAGCUGCGGCGGGACGCUCCAACUUCAUUUGGUCAAGUACAACUUGGUGCUGAGAAGCCUCAAAGAUAGUGAACAGACACAUCUUCCAGGCUGAGGUGACACAGACCUGAGAGGUCAAGGUCGGUCGACAUUGUAGCCAGUUAAGUGGAAGACGAGAAGCUUGACCGUGGAUCUCCUGACUCGGAAAAUCUGAGUACAGUGGGACAAGGUAUGUAGAGUUAUAUGCUAUUUUAUUAUCUUUUGAGUGUUUUUUGAAAUGAAUAAAACAAG